CAGCGGGCAAUCUGUCUUUAAGUAGGGAUAAAUUACUCUUGAACAAAAUAAUCCUUGAUAGUUUUCCCUUCAAGUCAAGCAUCUUGU
rnacentral:pre_miRNA from 1 species